rnacentral:rRNA from 1 species
UACAGGGGGUGCAAACGUUGCUCGGAAUUAUUGGGCGUAAAGCGCGCGUAGGCGGCUACUUAAGUCGGAUGUGAAAGCCCCUGGCUCAACUGGGGAAGUGCACCCGAAACUGAGUGGCUUGAGUGCGAAAGAGGGUCGCGGAAUUCCCGGUGUAGAGGUGAAAUUCGUAGAUAUCGGGAGGAACACCGGUGGCGAAGGCGGCGACCUGGGUCGACACUGACGCUGAGGCGCGAAAGCGUGGGAGCAAACAGG